GCCUGGGUGGCUCAGUCGGUUAAGCGUCCGACUUCAGCUCGGGUCACGAUCUCGCGGUCCGCGAGUUCGAGCCCCGCGUCGGGCU
rnacentral:tRNA from 1 species